AUCUUCCGCGUAGUUCUACAAAUAUUGGGAAGGGGAGCAAUUAAAUGAUGAUGAUUAGUAACUAACAGUUUAAUCAUUGGCUAUAUUUUGUCCCAUAUUUGUCAUUGCAAUAUAAAAGAAACAGAAAAGAAAGCUUACUCCAAUGAUGAUGAGGACCCUUCUCUCUGAAGCACAUAUGUUGCCUCCUAGUGCCUUGAGAAAAAGCCCAAUGAACUCAGGAUUGCCAUAAUAUGUGACCCCAGUAGUUAAAUUAUCAUCAGCAACACACACUGACAAUGUAUCGGGUUCUACCCAGUGAGCACCAGCAGCAACCAAUCCAGGUUUCAUAGUUGAAACCGCGGUGCAUUUGCGACCUUUAACAGCGCCUGCAGGUGCUAAGACCAACAGCCCAUGGCAAAUAGCAGCAAUUGGCUUUCUGGAGUCAGAAAAUUUUCUCGCCAAUUCUACAACGGAUGCCUUCAUAGCAAGAUGUUCAGGAGAUCGUCCUCCUGGUAUAACUAGACCAUCAUAUUUGUCAAAUUCGAUGUCAUCAAAUGUUGCAUUCAGUGUGAAAUUGUGACCACGAGAUUCUUUAUUAGCCUGUAACCAAAAAGGUACACGAAAGAAAACCAAACACAACACACACAUUAAAACAAGAGUAAUGGUUAGGGGAAUUCAAGCUUCUUUGUCUUGCUUGUCUCUCAAACUCAAACUCAUCAGAGGUUGUUUUCCAACAACUGUGUUCAAUAUUAAAUAUAUAAAACAUAUUCCUCUUGUUUACAAAUAAAAAAGAACAGGAAAGACAGGAAAGACAGAGUUUGACCUGGUCAGUGGACUCUACUUGAAUGGUUAUGGCAGUGGCGCAGAUAUCACCAGCUUUCUUGACAGGAGAAACUGCAUCAACAGAGACUCCAAAUGCCUGCAGUGCUUGAAAUGGGACCAUUGCCUCGUAAUCUUCCAUGUAGUCCCCGCACAGUAACAACACCCUCCUCUGCACCUCGCCUUUCGGAUUCCCCAUUUCUUUUCUUAUUUCCUUCUUUAGUUUCUUUCUUCUUUUUCACACAGAGAGAGUUUUCAGAGAGAUUUUUCAGAGAGAAAGAGAGAGGGAGAGAGUCUGAAUACAAGAAGGUAGGUUAUAGCUUGAGCUGCUCCGCUUUGCUUACUUAAAUACUCACAAAAGCGUUUUUGGAGGUUUGUGGAGUCAGCUCGAUACGGUCGCUCGCAAUUUGAGCAACACAUCGCAGUCAGUUAUCGUGGCAUCUCUCUAUUCGCCGCUUCUUUUCAGUUCGGAUAACUAUUCUAUUAGUUUCGAGCCUAUCACCGUCUCCAUGUUUGAUACGUUUUUUUGUUGUCUUCUUUACCGACCAAGUGAGUCUAAAUUAUUGAAACUUGAGUUUGUUCUCUUCACGGACCAAGUGGGUCUAAAUUAUUGGAGGAAGAUUGAAACUUGAGUUUGUUCUCUUCACGGACCAAGUGAGUCUAAAUUAUUGGAGGAUGAUUAAAACUUGCAAAGAGGCGGAUUUAUUCUCUUAUUGUGAAUACAAAUAAUGGUCUAAAUUAUUAGGGAAGUAUUCUAACUUGAGUGCAAAGAGCACAAAUUUAAGUGCAAAGGAGUGGACUCACUGUCUUAUUACGAGUGCAAAUGAUAAUCUAAAUUAUUAGAGAAAUAUUUAAAUUAUAUAGUGCAAAGAAGCGUACUCACUGUCUUAUUGUGAAUAUUCAAAUAUUCGAGCUCAAUGCUUCCUUUUCGAUUGAAAAAAAGAAGAAGCUCAAUGCUUCCAAGCCUAUACUAUAGAAAAGCUCUUUAGAGUCGUCAUCUUCUUCUUCUUGCCUUCAUUGUAGCACGUGUGUGGCCCAAUAGAAAAGCUCAAUGCUUCCAAGCAGGACCGGUCUUGAGAUUUUGAAGGCCCUGUGCAAAACCUUAAAUUGGGGCCUCACAUAAGCUAACACAAACUUACACCAUUAUGUAAUGCCAUACAAUAAAUUUUUUUUUUUUUUCAAGUGAUCAAAGUACCCCUACUCCCAAGGAAAAAAUUGAAAUUUCACAAAAGAAUUAAAUUGGAUUAAAUUGAUUACAUUGAGUCAGAGAUGUUACACCUUUUGAAUAAUCACCAUGAUUGUGACGAUGAGUCUUUGUCAUCAUAGGUCAUACUCAGAUAUUAAAUAUUUUUUAACACCUAAUUUAUUUUGUAUCAAUAUUCCAAGAACAUCAUUAAUUCGAUGCAAUUAUUUUGGUUGACUUAGUUGGAUGCAUUAUUUUUGCGAAAUUGAAUAUCUUAGCAUAAUUAUUGACUAAUUCAUUGUGAUCGGGUAUUUAUUAUUUCCGUUUGUGGUUGUGAAAGUAGAUGGGAUAUUGAAUGUUGGUGUUGACAUCGAACAAGCCUUUAACACAAGCAGAUUUUGAAGUCGAGUCCUGAAUAGAAGUUGAGGCCCUACAAACCAACACAACUAGAAACGUCUUUGUGUCAACAAUUUGCUCACUCUGUAUAUAUAUAACAUUUGUUAUACAUAUAGAGUGCUGCUAUUUCCACCCACUUGUCCUAUUUUCUCACCCACUAUGUAAAUUUGAAAAAUUAAAAUCCUACUUUUCCACCCAACAUUAUUCCUAAAAAACCCUUUAAUUAUUAAUUCGACCAAACACCAUCAACUCCAAGUUAAAAACAUAAAAAUUUUAAUCCAAAAAAAAAAAAAACAUUUUUCAUCUUCUUCAUGUGUUUUCAACAUCACGACCUUACCCUACCAUAUUAAUAUUCUCAUAAACCCCUUAGCAGUACUGGUGGCUUCACGACCACGACACCACCACCACAACAACAUACAACCAACAAGACUACAAUGGAUUUUUAAUUGAAGUGAUGUUAUAUGGAAUAAGGACCCGUAUGUGGGUUAAUCAGACUAAAAAAUCUUUAAAAUGGAAUAAAAUUAUAGGACAAUUUGGCCUCUAUUAUCAACACCUACCAACCCUGACACAAUAUUAAAGGUGGAGUUGAGAAUUUGAUUUGAAUUUUUUUUUAAAAACUUUUCAAAUGAUUGAGAUGGGUAGAUCAAUGCUCGCUGAAUUUGUUGAGGCCAGGAAGAUGGAAAGAAUAUGGAGAGUAAAAGAAAAAAUUUAUUUUCUUUUUAAAAUUUGUUUUAUUUUUAGGGUUUUAGAAGUCAUUUUACAUAGGGAUAAAUUUGUCUUUAAAUUUUUUAAAAUAAGGUGGGUGGAAAAAUAUGAGGUGGGUGAAAAUAGCUGUACUCUACAUAUAUUAUACACAUGAAAAAAAAUUGGGGCCCCUAAAAAAUUAAGGGCCCUGUGCCGUGGCACCACUUGCACACCCUCAGGACCACCCCUGCUUCUAAGCUAAUGUCCCUAUACUAUAUUAAAGCUCUUUAGAGUCCUCAUCUUCCUCUUGCCUUCAUUGUAGCACGUGUGUGGCCCAAUAGAAAAGCUAAUGUCCCUAUACUAUAAGGACCAUGCGGAUAAAUAAAUGUAAUGUUUAUCUCUGACAGGUCAUGCUUUUUGAGCCGUGAUAUUUUUGGAAUAGCGUUCGCGUGCAUUUUACCUGGACUGCCAUGUUGAUUUUCACCAGAGCAGCAAAGCUGCUUGCUUUGUGUUAUGAGGUCUGGUUUUGUUAACAAACUAUAUUGCUUGACCUAGAAGAAAAUGCAAUAUCAUGUGGAUCCUCAUUUCGCAGUUGCAUGAGGAUGGUUGUGAAAAUACAAGAGCUAAUUCUGGACAACAUGAUAUUUGUGGGAGCGAUUUCUUCCCACGAGAAUAUUCAAUUGAAAGAUUUCUCUUUCAUCUUCGCCGCCCCUUUCUCAUUGCAAAAUAGAUCGAAACAAGAGGACCACACUCGUGAGGUGUUGGCCAAAAGCCCUCAGAUGCCUAAGUUAGUUCAAUUGAUUCGUAGAGAAAACAAUAGCUAAAUAGGGUACGGAGAUAUAUAUAUAUGUAAGGUGAAAACCGGAUGGCCGGAGCCGUGAGUGGUGGUCGGAGCCUUGUGUAAAAGGAAGAGAGAGUAUGGCGGCUAAGGUUUGUGAGGGAUAAUUUCUGCAGAGUUUCAGUAAGAAUUUAGACGUACCUAAACCCUUGUACGUAGCCAUUUAUUUACAGGGGCCUCAGAGGCUAGGGUUUUAGAGGAAUAAUUCCGCAUAUGGAAAUGAAUUAUUCCUCCCUGAUUUGGCGAGAUUGGCUUAAUUAGGGAUUUGAAUGUAGGAAUCAAAUCAAUCCCAAUUAAAUUAGCAACUCUGGUUGGCCAUGCCACGCUGCUGCGGUAACCAGAUUUACAUCAGUGACACAACGAUCUAUUGGAUUCGCUUCCGCAAACGUCCCCCCUGACACAACCACAUGAGCCUUAAUCCCUGGGUAUCCAGUAAAUUUCUUCCCCUGAAAUAUAGCCAAUUAAACCAAUUAUGUCAUGUUAAAAAGUGCCUAAUCAAGAAAUAAGUACAUUAACCACUAAUCAAAAGAAACAGAAAAAAUAUUAUCUCGUUUGCGAUUUUAAAGAGUACUCACCUCCUUCUUCCCAAUAGUUAUUUACAAUUGAGAGGUUAAUAGGUCACAACAGAUCAGCUCAACAGAACCGAAAUACAAAGCACUAGAUGUAACCUUUUUUACUUCCUUUUCAAGUUCAAUCGAUAAAGUAUUUCAAUCUGUUUUACUUUAUCUUUAAUAAGUAGCAUUAAAACUGGAAGCAUUAUAUUAAUGUUUUAGUGACAAACGUUUAACCACUAAAAUGCAGGUAGGAUAUAUGUUUUUUCUUUAAGACCAUACCUGCAGAACACCAGCAGCAACUAAAAUUUCCAGGCCAUGGCAGAUGGAUGCAAUUGGUUUCCUGGCUUCCAUAAAUUGUUUCGCUAGUACAAUAACAUCCUCAUUUAGUGACAAAACCUCUGGAUCUUUUCCUCCAGGGAGUACAAGAGCGUCGUAACUUGAGGCAUCUACGGAUUCAAAGUCAGCUGUUAAAACAAAAUUUUGUCCCUGCGUUUCACUGCAGGUUUGGGCCCCUUCAAGAUCACGGAUAGCAGUUGGGCAGGUAUCACCGGCUUUCUUCUUGGGGCAAACCACAUCAACAUGGCAUCCUAGAACUUUAAGGGUCUGAUAAGGCACAGUUACCUCAUAAUCUUCCACGUAGUCCUACAAAUAUUACAAAUAUUGGGGAGGGGAGCAAUUAAAUGAUAAUGAUUAGUAUCUAACAGUUUGAUCAUUGGCUAGAAGCCUAAAACCAUGAACUUGUCGUGGCGAAACUGGUAAAGCCGACUCGGGCUUUCUCCCCUUUCUCUUUUAAUAAUAUUAAGGUUGGUUGUCACUUGAACUUGAGCAUACUAUUUUGUCCUAUAUAUGUCAUUGCAAUAUUAAAGAAAAAGAAAAGAAACCUUACUCCACAGAUGAUGAGGACCCUUCUCCCAGAACCAGAUAUGUUGCCUCCUAGUGCCUUGAGAAAAAGCCUAAUGAACUCAGGAUUGCCAUAAUACGUGACCCCAGUAACUAUAUUAUCAUCAACAACGCCCACUGACAAUGUAUCGGGUUCUACCCAGUGAGCACCAGCAGCAACCAAUCCAGGUUUCACAGUUGGAAACGCUGUGCACUUGCGACCUUUAACAGCGCCUGCAGCUGCUAAGACCAACUGCCCAUGGCAAAUAGCAGCAAUUGGCUUUCUGGAGUCAGAAAAUUUUCUCACCAAUUCUACAACCGAUGCAUUCAUAGCAAGAUGUUCAGGAGAUCGUCCUCCUGGUAUAAGUAGACCAUCAUAUUCGUCAAAUUCAAUCUCAUCAAAUGUUGCAUUCAGUGUGAAAUUGUGACCACGAGAUUCGGUAUAAGCCUGUAACCCAAAAAGGUACGUACGUCCGUACAGAAAACCAAACCAAACACACACAUUAAAACAGGAGUAAGGGGAUACAAAAUAAAUAAAUGAACAGGAAAGACAGAGUUUGACCCGGUCAGUGGACUCCACUUUAAUGGUUAUGGCUGUGGCGCAGAUAUCACCCGCUUUCUUGCCAGGAGAAACUGCAUCAACAGAGACUCCAAAUGCCUGCAGUGCUUGAAAUGGGACCAUUGCCUCGUAAUCUUCCAUGUAGUCCCCGCACAGUAACAACACCCUCCUCUGCUCCUCGCCUUUCGGAUUUCCCAUUUCUUUUCUUAUUUCCUUCUUUAGUUUCUUUCUUGCUUUUUCUUUCUUCUUUCUUCUUUCUUCUUUUUCAGAGAGAGAGAUGGUCUAAUAAAGGAAGGAAGGCCUGCUUUAAAUACUAAUACUCACACAAGCGUUUUUGGAGGUUUGUGGAGUCAGCUAGACACGUCGCAGUUAGUUAUCGUGGCAUCUCUUUCUAUUCCUCUCUUCUUUUCAGUUCGGAUAACUAUUCAAUGAGUUUCGAGCCAAGUUUGAUAUUCUCUGUUGUCUUAUAAUUAUUCGAGGAAGAUUCAAACUUGUAAUGUUUAUCUCUAACAGGCAUGGACAAUAAAUGUAAUGUUUAUCUCUAACAGGUAUGGAUAGUUUCGAAUAGCGUGCGCGUUGAUUGUACCUCGACUGCCAUGUUGAUUUUCACCAACGCAGCAAAGCUGCUUGCUUGGUGUUAUGAGGUCUGGUUUUGUCAACAAACUAUAUUAAUUGACCCAAAAGAAAAUGCAAUAUAAUGUGGAUCCUCAUUUCGCAGUGACAGGAUGGUUGUGAAAUACAGGCUAACUUUGGGCAACAUGAUAUUCAAAAGAAAAUUCAAUAUCUUGUCGAUCCUCAUUUUGCAGUUACAGGAUGGUUGUGAAAGUAUAAGCUAACUCUGGACAACACGAUAUUCAAAAGAAAAUGCAAUAUCUUGUCGAUCCUCAUUUCCCAGUUGCAGGAUGGUUGUGAAAGUAUAAGCUAAUUCUAGACAACUGAUAUUCAUUCAGGUAAAACUUCGAGGUGUACGAUGAGAGAGAGAGAAACCAAGGGGGCCGAUGACUAAUAAAGCAUAAGUAGUAUAAUACAAGCUUCAUCCACAACCAAACUUGCAUGGAACAUGGCAUAUACAUAUCGAGACCAGAAUCAUUUGUUCCCUCAUAUAUACAAACGUCACCUUAACAUAACACAACAUACAUGCCUUAUUCUUUCAUGAAUUACAUAUAGUACAUGCAAGCAGCUGACCCAAUAAACAGCAAAUGAUACUCGAAUAUCAAGCAAUGUCAUCAACUGAGAAAUGAACUCUGGGUUGCCCAGUCCAAAUUUCCAUCUGUGAAGCAAUGAUCUAUUGGAUCAGGUUCCAGCCAUGUUGCUCUUGACAAAACCGCAUUAAGCUUCACCGCUGGAUACGCAGUACAUUUCUUUCCCUAAAAUGAAGCAUACCACCAAAACAUUGAAAAUACACAUAGGAAUGAAUGAUGGAACCCUAUCACACCAGAAUUGUGGCAAAUCUGGUGAAGCCUAUUCAGGUUAUUUUCACUAUAUAUCUUUCAGAAGUAUCUGUAAUGGGGCAAAUCUCCAUCAAUUCUCUUCUUUUCACUUUAUCUUUAUGCCCAUUCAUGCAUGUACAUAUUAUAGGAAGAAGUUUUUGACAUAUGGCAUGUAUUGUGUGUCAAAUGUAUACCGAUUCAUGAAGACAGGUUCAACAGCACAUACACCAUUUUGACCUUAUUCAUUUAUUUUUGUUUAUUCUGGGUUACUGCAAUUUGAAUCACAUUAAAAAACAAAUACUGAACAGUGAUAUAUUCAAUAUUGAUUGGCAUCACAACUUCAUAUUUCUCAUUGCACUACGAAGGAAAAUAAAAAUUACCCCACAGAGAAACAGGAUCCUCCUAUCUGAACCAGUUAUGUUACUUCCUAUAGUGCCUUCAAAAAAGACUAAUGAACUCAGGAAGGCCUUCAUAUGUAGCCCCAGUUAUUAUAUUACCAUCAACAACACACGCCACCAUGGUCACGGGCUCCACCCAAUAAGCACCUGCAGGCUGCAGCAACAAGUACAGGUCUGACAGCUGGGAAGGCCGUUAUAUUUUAAAGGCAUCGCGGCGGAGCUAUACUCUAUAAUCAAAAUAGAAAAUCUAAAACGUAUAGCCGUUCGGCUAUACUCUAUAAAUAUAACUCCAUAAAUAGAAUAUCAUAAACAUAUAGCCGCGCGGCUAUAUGCGAUAAAUAGAAUAUUUCAAACGUAUAGCCGAUUGGCUGUACCCUAAAAUAGAACAUUUUAAAAGUAUAGCCGAUCGGCUGUACUCUAUUAGAAGAUCUUCAAAAAAUACAGAAAACCCAAAAACAUUUUAAAACAAAGGGGGACCAGAAAGACAUAUAUAGCAUUUGAAGAUUUGUAAAUUAAACACAGAUAAGAUUAUUUUCACUUAGAGACGAAGGCACUAAUGCAAUUUUGUUUAUUGAAUAUGGUGUACGCAGUGACGUUGGAGCCAAGAAUUUGUUCACGCUGUCUUUUCCCCAGAACUCAAAGCUCAAUACAGGUCGGUUCUCUAGCUCAUAAUGAAUGAGCAAAGCACUCUAACAAAACUCCUAACAUGUGUUCUUGUUUGAGCUUACUUUAGUCUCGCUGUCCACACAACCUAGAAACUAUGACCUACGGAUUGCUAUUUGUCAAUCUAAUAGAGUGGCUCUAAUCAACAGUAAAACUUAAUUCAUUUUGUCUAUUAUUAACGCUACCAACCACUGGCUGAUGCAAAAACCUAAACUUGUAAACUUGACAAACUUAUUUCCAGUCCCAACAUAUUCCAAAUUUUAGAGGAGGCAGCAUAAUCCCAUAUGUGAGAAUUGUAAGCACUUCAAUCUUUGAGACAAAUUUCUUGUUUUGGGUUUACAAAUUCAAGUGAAGUAAGCAUUCAAUCUUCAAUCCAAUUGAGUGUGCUUGAUUACAGAGCAUGGAAAGACCAAUUGACAGUGCUCAAAUGAUGUAAUGAGGCUAAAGAAUAAAUUUUUAUCAUAUAAUCAUUAAAUAUGUUCACUAAAAGAUGUGUCAUCGUUAUAUGUAAAAUUUUUAGAAAUAUAUAAACUAGCUAGGAUUUACGUGAAUUCGAAUUUGAAUACAUGAAAUAUUAUUACCUACUACAUCAUUUGAUGAACAGAUUUGAUGUUCCUAACAAUUCUAUGCGUACUAGUAAAGUACUUUGUCUUUAAUUUGGAAGUACCCGAAAGCAUAAUGUUUUUCAUAUAUUAUCUGGCAGGAGGCAAUUCAAGAAAAAAAGCCAUCAUUAUUGGAGUCGUAGUUGGAGGUGUAGGUCUUUUUAUUCUCAUUGUUGGAGUUUUUCUCUAUUUUAAACUUUCAAGAAAGCCCGAGGCUGCAACAACCACAGAAUUCGAAGUUGCACUUCCUCUUGCAUAUAUACUAUUACAGUCAUGAUUUCUUGGAUUACAAGUACAAGGGUUUAAGAGAUUUGUGAUCACUCACCGUUGGAUGUAAAUUCAACGGUUCACUCACUCUUGCACUUCUUUUAAGAAAUUUUUUUGAACCAUUGGAUUAAUAUCUAACGGUGGGUGACCACAAUCUCUUGGACUCCUGUAUUCCAAGAGAUCGGAUUGUAUACUAUAAGUCCUGAUCUCUUAGACUACAAGAGUACAAGAGAUUUGUGGUCACUCACCGUUGGAUAUAAAUUCAACGGUUCACUCAUUAUUGCACUCCUUUUAAGAAACUUUUUUGAACCAUUGGGAUUAAUAUCCAACCGUAAGUGACCACAAUCUCUUGGACUCCUGUAGUCCAAGAAAUUUGUGGUCACUCACCGUUGGGAUGUAAAUUCAACGGUUCACUCACUCUUGCACUCCUUUUAAGAAACGUUUUUGAACCAUUGGAUUAAUAUCCAACAGUGGGUGACCACAAUCUCUUGGACUCCUGUAGUCCAAGAGAUCGGGACUGUAUACUAUUAGUCCUGAUCUCUUGGACUACAAGGGUCCAAGAGAUUUGUGGUCACUCACCGUUGGAUGUAAUUCAAUUAGCUCAUGCUCUAACCAUGUAUAUAUAUAAACAUAAAAAAUUUAAAAAAAUUUGGUAUUAGACAUAAUUAUCUUUACUAAUUAGUAUUCGAGAUAAACAAUAUUUAUGUUUUAGUUUUAAUACAUAGGAAUUGAAUUUUGUUUUGGAUUUGGACAAAGAGGAGGCCCAGAUUCAUUAGCCCACCUUAUAUUAAUCACUAAUUUUAAUUUAAAAACCUGACUCAAAUUCAUUGGUUUACCUUUUUUUUAAGAGUGCUACUAAACGAACCCUAACAUUAACUGAGUACACCCUAUGAUCUAAGUACACCCUGAUAUUUUAAUUUAAAUGUAAAAUUAACUAAGCACACCCUAUAGAACUACCAAAAAUAUCUCUGGUACACCAUAAUAUUUGUAGCAUUAUUUUAUAGUUGAUUUUUAGCUUGAUUUUUUUAAUAGUGUUUAUAAAUCUUUGACUUUUCAUAUGGAUUUAUGCUUCUACUAAAAUUGUUGACACUUUUUUUGCAAUUUCAAGUUCUUGCAAUCACCACCUCUUUCGUUAAUAAUGAUUUUUUUAUGCAUGUUUCAGUUAUAUACUACUAUGCUACUGUGAAAUUUAUUUGUUCUCAACGAAGUUAAAAACAAGCUAAACAAAUAGAGACACUUUCGCAAAAGACACCUCGUUUGUGAUAAAUUCGUUUUUGUAGUCUAAAACACAUUGUUUAUUGAUGUCGGUGUCUUGCUUAGAUACAUCUUCUAGAUGCUGUAAAAAAAAAAACCUCAUAUUUGUCAUUUUUCGGUACACAUGCUUUAGCCUAAACCAAAAAAAAAAAUCAAAGUUAAUACCUCUUUUGAUGACUUCCUCAAAAUAUAUGAAGCAUCCAUUCCAAAAUUUCAAAAGUAACCCAACUUGCAAAUCUGCAUAAAAACAUAAGAGAAAAACAAUAAGAAAGGUGCAUGAGUGGCAAACGAAAGUCACUGCAAACUUCAUCAAAUUGGCCCUAGUAGUACUAAUUAAGAUAUUUUUAAUCAUACACGCUCACAAGCCAGAAAAACUAAGUCCUAAAAGAGGGAUGAAGAUGCUGCCACCACAAUUUUCAUUCAUGUUGUUAGUGAACUAGGCAAAAGUAAUAUGCAUAAAUUCUAUUUUUACAGUAUAUAAGUCAAUUCACCAUAAUAUUUUUUUGACAACUUAUUGGAUUGUCAGGAAUUCAAUGAUCAAUCAGGCCUUCACAUAAUCUCCACCGCUGCACUUCCUUUUGGACCUUGAGAAGAAGCAGAUUUGAGCCCAAGUCUUCUUCUGCUUAGCAGGUUGUGCUUUAACUUCUCUUUUCACGACAAGCUCAAUCAUGUAUUGAACAACAGCCUAAGAUUAUAUUUGCUCCAAACCAUUCUGACUCGCAGAUCACAAAGAUGAGAACCAAAUAAUCUCUUGAGUAGGGUUGAAUACGAUUAGUAGGGUGUACUUAUUAAAAUUAUAUUUGUUUCACAAUUUCAUAUAUCAUUUUUGGUCAUUUUAUAUUAGAGUAAAUCAGUAAUUCAAUAUAUGCUUUUGUAGUAGGGUGUACUCAGUUAAUUUUAGGGUUCGUUUAGCAGCACUCUUUUUUAAUCAUAUCAGAUCUGCUAUCAUCAAUCCAAGAUCAAGAGACCGAUCUGCGAUGCAAUUCUCAACCAUCUCCCUCCUCUACCCAACCCCCCCCCCCCAACCCCCCAAAAAAAAGGUUUGGGAAAGUCCCAAAAACUAAAAAACAGAUUUCUUCAGAUACAAAAAAAUUUAAAAAAAGAGGAGAGGAUAUGAAAGACGCAGAAAAUCGNNNNNNNNNNNNNNNNNNNNNNNNNNNNNNNNNNNNNNNNNNNNNNNNNNNNNNNNNNNNNNNNNNNNNNNNNNNNNNNNNNNNNNNNNNNNNNNNNNNNNNNNNNNNNNNNNNNNNNNNNNNNNNNNNNNNNNNNNNNNNNNNNNNNNNNNNNNNNNNNNNNNNNNNNNNNNNNNNNNNNNNNNNNNNNNNNNNNNNNNNNNNNNNNNNNNNNNNNNNNNNNNNNNNNNNNNNNNNNNNNNNNNNNNNNNNNNNNNNNNNNNNNNNNNNNNNNNNNNNNNNNNNNNNNNNNNNNNNNNNNNNNNNNNNNNNNNNNNNNNNNNNNNNNNNNNNNNNNNNNNNNNNNNNNNNNNNNNNNNNNNNNNNNNNNNNNNNNNNNNNNNNNNNNNNNNNNNNNNNNNNNNNNNNNNNNNNNNNNNNNNNNNNNNNNNNNNNNNNNNNNNNNNNNNNNNNNNNNNNNNNNNNNNNNNNNNNNNNNNNNNNNNNNNNNNNNNNNNNNNNNNNNNNNNNNNNNNNNNNNNNNNNNNNNNNNNNNNNNNNNNNNNNNNNNNNNNNNNNNNNNNNNNNNNNNNNNNNNNNNNNNNNNNNNNNNNNNNNNNNNNNNNNNNNNNNNNNNNNNNNNNNNNNNNNNNNNNNNNNNNNNNNNNNNNNNNNNNNNNNNNNNNNNNNNNNNNNNNNNNNNNNNNNNNNNNNNNNNNNNNNNNNNNNNNNNNNNNNNNNNNNNNNNNNNNNNNNNNNNNNNNNNNNNNNNNNNNNNNNNNNNNNNNNNNNNNNNNNNNNNNNNNNNNNNNNNNNNNNNNNNNNNNNNNNNNNNNNNNNNNNNNNNNNNNNNNNNNNNNNNNNNNNNNNNNNNNNNNNNNNNNNNNNNNNNNNNNNNNNNNNNNNNNNNNNNNNNNNNNNNNNNNNNNNNNNNNNNNNNNNNNNNNNNNNNNNNNNNNNNNNNNNNNNNNNNNNNNNNNNNNNNNNNNNNNNNNNNNNNNNNNNNNNNNNNNNNNNNNNNNNNNNNNNNNNNNNNNNNNNNNNNNNNNNNNNNNNNNNNNNNNNNNNNNNNNNNNNNNNNNNNNNNNNNNNNNNNNNNNNNNNNNNNNNNNNNNNNNNNNNNNNNNNNNNNNNNNNNNNNNNNNNNNNNNNNNNNNNNNNNNNNNNNNNNNNNNNNNNNNNNNNNNNNNNNNNNNNNNNNNNNNNNNNNNNNNNNNNNNNNNNNNNNNNNNNNNNNNNNNNNNNNNNNNNNNNNNNNNNNNNNNNNNNNNNNNNNNNNNNNNNNNNCCCCCCCCCCCCCCCCCCCAAAUAACACUGUUCGGACCAUCCUCAACACCCCAACACACGUCGCCCUCAAGUCCGAAGAACUUAUAAGAAUGGAGCAGGAAUUGAUAGUCCGCGAAAUCGAAAUGCGGAAAGCCAAAGAGGAUCUCAACCGUCGGAUUCACAAUGAUCAGGUCGCGAGGGAGAUCAUGAAGAUUCCAUAGGACGAGUGGCAAGAGUCUGGCCAACUCUUCGCCAAACCCUUCGGUGUAGGCUCCUCCUCAUCGUCGUCGACGAAGAGGGUCAAGAGUGAAAGAGUGUUCUAUCAGAUUGGUCAAAAAAUAAUACUUCAUUUAUCUUAAUAUAUAACAAAUAGGAAGGUUAUAUAUACAAAGCCUAGGAAACUAUUCUAGGAAAGUAAUUAUGUUCCUAUAAUCUUGCAUAAUCAAAUAGUUGACUUAGACUAAUUAGGAAUGUACAGCUCAUUGACACUCCCCCUCAAGUUGGAGCAUAUAUGUCGUCAAUGCCCAACUUGCUAAAUGAGCUGUGAAAUACCCUGCCUGUGACUGCUUUGGUAAGGACAUCUGCAAGUUGAUCUUCGGAUUUAACAAAUGAUACCUUAAUGAUCUUUGCCUCGAGCUUCUCCUUGAUGAAAUGUCUGUCAACUUCAACAUGCUUGGUUCUAUCAUGUUGCACUGGAUUAUGUGCAAUGUCUAUUGCAGCUUUGUUGUCACAAUUCAGUUGCAUGGCAUGUUUGGGUUUGAACCCCAAUUCCUCCAACAAAUUCCUUAUCCAGAGUAGCUCACAUACUCCGUGCGCCAUACCUCGAUAUUCUACUUCAGCACUUGAUCUUGACACUACUUUCUGUUUUUUACUUCGCCAAGAUACUAGAUUGCCUCCUACAAAGGUAAAGUAUCCAGAUGUAGAUCGCAUGUCAGUAACAGAGCCCGCCCAGUCUGCAUCAGUGUGACCCUCAACAUCUAGAUGACCAUGUCGUGCGAACAUCAAUCCUCUUCCAGUAGAUGACUUCAAGUAUCUCAAAAUUCGGUUUACCGCAUCCAUGUGGGCUUCACUUGGUGCAUGCAUGAACUGACUCACCAUACUUACAGCAUAUGCUAUAUCAGAUCUAGUGUGUCCUAGAUAGAUUAACUUACCCACAAGGCGUUGAUAUCUUUCUUUGUUGGUGGGUACUUGAUCAGGAUAUUCACCAAGCUGAUGAUUCAACUCCAUUGGCGUAUCUGCUGGUUUGCUGGCUAACAUUCCAGUGUCAGUCAAAAUGUCAAGGAUAUAUUUCCGUUGUGAUAGAAAUAUUCCUUGUUCUGAACGAGCCACUUUGAUGCCUAGGAAAUACUUCAGAGCACCAAGAUCUUUCAUUUCAAACUCACUUGCCAAGUGGUGCUGCAAUGCUGCCUUUUUCACUAGGUCAUUCCCGGUAACUACCAUGUCAUCAACAUAUACAAUAAGGGCAGUGACAUUACCUUUCUUAUGUUUCAAGAAAAGAGUAUGAUCUGAGUUACUUUGCUUGUAUCCAAAAUCCUUCAUUGAUUUGCUGAACUUGUCAAACCAUGCUCUGGGUGACUGCUUCAAGCCAUAAAGAGACUUUCUCAGUUUACACACCAUGUUGCUAGUAUUGGGCCCCAUCUUGCAUCCUGGAGGGGAAUCCAUAUAGACUUUUUCUUCUAGGUCGCCGUGCAGGAAGGCAUUUUUGACAUCAAACUGGUGUAAUGGCCAGUUUAGGUUUGCUGCCAGAGAAAAAAGUACUUGAAUUGUGUUUAUCUUGGCUACAGGGGCAAAUGUUUCCCUAUAGUCAAUCCCAUAAGUCUGAGUAUAACCUUUCGCCACCAAUCUUGCUUUGUAUCGUUCAAUGGUGCCAUCUGCCUUGAAUUUUAAUGUAUAUAUCCAUCUACAACCCACUGUUCUCUUUCCUUUGGGAAGGAUAGUCAUCUUCCAAGUGGAAUUCUUCUGGAGGGCCUCCAUUUCAUCAUUCAUCGCUUGAGUCCACUUGGGAUCUUUCAGAGCUUCCUACACAUUACUUGGAAUAGAUACAGUGGAUAAUUGACAUACAAAUGAUGCACAUGACGGAGACAACCUAUGUAGGGACACAUGAUUAGCAAUAGGGUAUUUAACUUUUGUUUUUGGGUCCGGGUCAUACUGUUGUCUAGGAAUCCCUCUAGUGGUACGAAUAGGUAACUGAUAACCUGUGUUUCCUGUAUGACUCGACUCAUGUAAAGUACUUAAGUUGGAGUUUAAAUGCUCAGUUACCUGCGGGGAAUCUUCAGGACCUGAUUGGAUGAUUGGUGAUGGUACUGUAGUUGGAGGGAAAUUAUCUGAACCAUCAUCUGGAGUUUCUAGUAACUCUUGAUCUUGUUGCACUACUGUAGCUGGUUGCUCGGAUACUGACUGCUCUAAAAUAGUUUGUUGAAUUUGGAUGCUCUGAGUAUCUUCUGCAAAGAUAGAGCUCUCCCCCUGCAGAGGAUGCUCAGAAACUCCCCCUGAGUAAUAGAACUCACUCUCGUGGAAAGUCGCAUCUGCGGUAACAUGCAUGGUCUGAGUGGGAUGAUGGAAACACUUAUAGCCCUUCUGAGUGUCAGCAUAACCCACAAAGACACAACGCAGUGCACACGGAUCAAGCUUGCCACGCUGAUGUGGAUACACCUGAACAUAAGCAACACAACCAAAGAGACGUGGUUCGAGAUUUGGUGUGGAUGGCAUGGUGAGGAGAGUGGUCAAUGUCUGAAAUGGAGUUUGAUACUGAAGAGUGCUGGAUGGGGUUUUAUUAAUGAGGUAAGCAGCAAAACAAAGAACCUCCCCCCAAAAAUGAUGAGGCAUACGGGCCUCAAAUAAAGAGGCACGAACAACCUCCAAGAGAUGACAAUUCUUACGCUCUGCGACGCCAUUCUGUUGUGGUGUAUAGGCACAUGUGGUUGAUGAACAAUUCCAUGUUGACUUAAAAAAAUUAUAUAGGUCUUGGUUGACAUACUCUCCUCCAUUGUCAGAUCGAAGCAUGGUGAUUUUCUUGUCAAACUGAGUAGCAACAUAUUGAUAAAAUAACUUGAAUUUGGCGGUGACUUUACUUUUCUGCUUUAAGGGAAAAACCCAGGUCAUCCGGGUGCAAUCAUCAAUAAACGUCACAAACCACUUAAAACCGCUAAUAGUAGGAACUCGUGAUGGUCCCCAAACAUCAGAAUGGACAAUCAUGAAAGGCAAAGAACUUUUAUUCAAUCUUAAUGGGUAAGAAAUACGAUGACUUUUGGCCAAAAUGCAAGUUUCACAAUGAAAGUCUGAUUCAGCAAACUGGGAAAAUAAAUCUGGAAAUAAAAGUUUCAGAUGACCAAAAGAAGCAUGCCCUAAUCGUCUAUGCCAUAGCCAAAUUUUCUUCAUCCUGAUAGACUCAUCUCCUCUCACAUGAUGUGUCUGACUCAAUCUUGUACUGCUGUCUUCUGUCAAGUCCAGAUAAUACAACUUUCCCCUCCUAGUACCACAUCCAAUCACGGUCCUGGUGAGAAGAUCCUGAAAUAGACAAUACAAUGGCCAAAAACACAUAGUACAAUUAAGGGAAUCAAUGAUUUGAGGAACAUAUAACAAGUCAUAGUCGAGUGAAGGGACAACUAAGACAUGAUCAAGACUUAAUGAAGAUGUAAGAGAUAAAGACCCUUCUCCCAUAACUUGGGAGGUGGUUCCAUUGGCACUGGUAAUAUGUGUUUGGCUUGAUGGUUUGGUAGAGUGCAACCCAGUAAAACUAGAUGUCAUGUGAUCAGUAGCGCCAGUGUCAAUAAUUCAUGAUCUAUUACAAAUAAGUGAAGAUGUGCAAGAGGUACCUGAGGUGGCCAAGGCCUUGGAGCCAGAUGUACCUGAUGGAGGUUCUGAUGCAGUCUCCUUGGAUGACUGAGCGGAUGCAAAUGAGGCUCUGGUAGAAUCCUUUUUUCGCCCUUUGUGGACCCAUCCUUCUGGAUAACCAAUGAUCUCAUAACAGCCCUUAAUUGUGUGGUUAUCUAAACCACAUUUGGUACACUUCAUUGGAGGCCAGUUACAAGUAGGGUCGACACUAUAGUUGUUCGGCCGAGAUUGUUUGGACCUCGCAGUAGCCAAGGCCGUGGCUUCAGAGGUUACACCAACUUCAGACAUGGUUCCCUGUCGGUUACUUUCUCUUUUAAUAUGUGCAUAUGCGGCCUCCAAUUCGGGUUUUGGCUCCAUCCGCAAAAUCUCUCCUCGGAUUUGAUCGAAAUUAUUGUCCAAACCUGCAAGAAAUAUAUAAACUCGGAGACGAUCAACCUCUUUGCGUCUAGUCUCAAUGUCUUUCGGAUGCUCCAUGGUGCUUGGACUUAAUUGAUCAAGCUCCUGAAAAAUCUCAGUGAGCUCACUGUAAUAUUUGGCAACUGAUGCGCCAGCUUGCUUCAUUAUUAAUGACCAUCUGUGAAGGUCAUAAAUCUUGGCUUCAUCAGCACCAUUUGAAUAGGUUUGCUUGAUUGCGGCCCAAACUUGCUUUGCUGUGUCAUAACGAAUAAAUCGUUUAAUCUGAUUAGGUUGCAUGGCGUCGAACAACCAACUCUUGACUUGGCAAUCCGAUGCAUGCCAUUUAUUAAAUGUGGGAUCUGUGUCUGUAGGUUGGGCAAUAUCACCGGUCAAGUGGCCAUGUUUUUCUCGCCCAGCUAUCUUCAUCUCUAUGAUUUGAUGCCAUAGAGAAUAAUUAUUCUCAUCCGAUUUGAUUCCUGCGGAGAAGUUGGAGGUGUCACUCUGUAAAGUGACGAUUUGUGUGGUAGUUUUGGAGCCUCCCGACACCAAGGAUUGAUUGGUGUUUGCUGACCCGUCAUCGUUGGCCAUGAUAUUGGCUGACAACCAAUGAAAAAAGGACAAAAAAGAAAUAUCAAGUUGAGGAAAAGCAAGUGAACGGUGGACAAAGGCAAUAAGAAAUAUUGGGUUGAAAGGGAAAAAAAGAACAAGGGGAACGGUUUGAAUGGGUCUGUGAGUGGAUCUGUGAGUGGAAAGUGAUUUGCAAUAUUGCAAAACGUGAUUUGACUAGAGGAAAGGUUUGAAUGGGUUUGUAAGAUGGAAUAUGGGUGGUAUUGGUGCUGGGUUUGUGAGAUGGAAUAUUGCUUUUGGUGCUGGUGCUGGUGCUGCGUACUAGAUGGAAUAUUGCAAAACAGUGAUUUGAGAUGGAAUAUGUGACAGGACCCACCCCGGAAUUUCCACAAAACCGGGGCGAAUCCAGUCUUUGUUCCGACAUCACCCCGAUGUCGGGCCCACUUACUAGAAACCGAGACUUCCUGCCGAAAUUUCGGCAGAGUCUCCCUUAUGAAUUGGACAAACCAACAAAAUUCAACCUGCAUAAAAAUAUAGAAUAAUCCCAACCAGCAGCAUGCUUUACAGCGAAUAAACAGUUUACAACAAAAUGGCCUCCGGCCUCACAAUUCAGACCCUAACAGGGCGAUAACAGAGCAUGUCUAAGAACUUCAAUUUCAACAAAACAGAGUACAAAGGAAAUAACAGGAAGAAAGAGUCCUACGAUGACUCAAGGCUCAAAAGCUCACGAUCCGGCUCUGCUGCGGAGCUCAGUCAACUACUGGCUGGGGGGCGCAAAACAGAAAAUUGUGAGUGGACAAAAAUAAAUUCAGUUCGGUGCAAACCAACGUAAUAUAACCCCACCGUUUAGAAAACCAUGCAAGAAAUACCAUGCAUCUCAAAACCGUCAUACACAAGUAUAUAUAUAUAUAUAUAUAUCAAAACAAAUCAAUACCAAAUGCCAAGUCCAAAAUUCAUAAAGAACACUUUACAAAACCCACCAUCCAAAAACUUAUAAAUCCCGCAACCAAACUCUCGAAAGCGUACCCAUUGGCACGACCGGCAAGGAAGUAUCCACACCGAGAAACAAGAAUGAAUGAAUAGAUAUAUAAUUAUAUAAUAUAAGAGAUAUAUGUAUAUAUAGUAUAAAUAUAACCAUCACCUAGUUGUACCGGGGAAACAAUCCAACCGGGGGAUUGUUUGACUAGUCACCCUGGCAGAGUCCUCGUGAUGAGUCCUCAAUCCACCAUGUGACUAGGGAACGAGCCGUUUAACUGAGGGACCAACUCUCAGCCAGAACGUACAGUCGAUAACCUCAAAACCCGUACGUCUGUGAACAGUCCUACGCGUGCAGACUACCCAAUUAAGGGUCUACAGCAACAUCCCGUCAAGGAUGCCCCGGGUCCCGACAAUUCCAAGUAUCUCAAGUCUCCGUAUCCAAGUUCCACAUCCGGGGAGGUACAUAGGGUAGUGCUUACCGCACACCAAACUGACAUUCUAUACUCACCACUUUCCACAAUCUCAUCUCAACAACCCAAGUACCUCACACAUAACCAAAUAUAUAUAUAUAAAUCCCCAAAAUCCAUAUAUUCAUACUCAAGAUACUCAAAUACGUCAAAACCCAAAAUAUAUUUUCAGUGCCUCAUAAAAAUAUCACUUUCAACAAUUUCAUAAAUAAUAUAUUCAAAAUACCAUUUAAAACAUCAUGCAUAAUAUUUCCCAAAAUCCAUAUAUAAAAUAUACUUUCAAUACCCAAUUAUACCAAACCCACAAUAUUUUACCAAAGCGCUUAUAAAAACAUCAAGCUCAACUCAUGAAUAUAAUAUAUUCAAUAAAUCAUUAAAAACAUUAUGCACAAAUGUUUCAUCAAUAAAACCAUGCAUAAGAUUUGAAAACAAGAUCCACUCACAAGUAGUCCCACGCUGCUUGACCCUGAGAGGGUCCCGCCUGCUGCGUAUGCGUGGUCGGAGUACCUCACCCGUCUGAAAUAGUGAUCGGAGGAGAGAGAACGGGCGACUGGAAGUUCAGACGAGAAUCGGCCUGAAAUCUGUGUUUUUCGGCGACGAGGAGGCGGCUGGCGGCUGGAGAUGGGUCGGGGAACGUCGGCGAGGUCUGGCCGGUUGUUUUGGGUCCGGUCUCGGGGCUGGCCGUGGCCUGUGGCGGCGGCUCCGCGUCUGCAAAUCGGAGAAGGAGGAAGAGGGACGCGGGAGAGAGAGAGAAUCGGGAGAAAGAGAGAGAAAGAGAGAUAAAACUGAAAAAUCUGAUUUUUACUCUAUCCCUUUUCGAAAUAUUUACAAGUUUGCCACUGACACUAUUUUGCCCGUAACUUUUUCGUUACAACUCCGAUUCAAGCCUACCGCGUGUCUACGAAUUCGUCUCAGUACCACCUACCCAGAAAUACCAGUUACUGCCCCAAACACUUUUUGGGCAAGAAAAUGACCAAUUUACCCCUACCCUGAGGGUAAAUUCGUAAAUUCACUUAAAUAAUUUAAAAUAGGAAUUAAAUUUAGAGUCGGGGUGUUGCAAUAUGGGCUGGUGCUGGGUCUGUAUGACGGCUGUUGCUGCGGAAGCGAUUAGGGUUAGGGCAAGAGACAGUCAAGAUUGACUGCUCUGAUACCAUAUCAGAUUGGUCAAAAAAUAAUACUUCAUUUAUCUUAAUAUAUAACAAAUAGGAAGGUUAUAUAUACAGAGCCUAGAAAACUAUUCUAGGAAAGUAAUUAUGUUCCUAUAAUCUUGCAUAAUUAAAUAGUUGACUUACACUAAUUAGGAAUGUACAGCUCAUUGACAUGUUCAGGCUCUACUUCAAGGGUUUGGUGAGCGACGCAAUGGUUGGAAAUGAGAGAAUGGUGCUGGCUGGGGUUGGGGUUGCUCUAUGCGACUCCAGGGAUAAUUUGGUGUUCGAGGUUUGGAAACCCCUGAUUGGGAAUGGGAUGAGCAAGAAUGGUGCCCUGUUGAAAGCCUUGAUUGAAGGACUUAAUGCUGCUCUUGCUCUGGACUUGAAGCGCAUCACCUUUUUCUGUGAGAAUUUUCCCAUUUUUUUAGUUUGUGAGUUGCUAUCUCUUCUCUGUCUCGUUUCAGUCUAUUGAUGAAAAUUAAUUAGGCUAAUUGUGGGUUUUGCAUUUUAAUAUAACGACAUAUAUGGUUAUGGACGCUGUGGUUUACACUGACCAUGAAAGAGACUCUUGUGAAAGAGGUCUAAAGGAAUGGAACUUAUUAUUAUAUUAGUGUAUACGAUGUUGUAGGUUUUGUUAAUUAAUAUUUUUUUUCUUGGAACAAUAAUGAACUUUCAAUUUUCAGAUAUACUUCAUGAAAUUUGAUAGGGCAAAUCGUAUAUCAUCCAUUGUGGACAAAGAGAUGCAUUCGCUUUGAGAAAUUUUACUUGUGUCUUCUCAACAUUUGCUAAAUUAGUUUGCUAUCUUGUAUUUAAAUUGACCAUUAGAGAAAGUCUUGUGAACAAGGUCUAAAAUAAUGGAGUUUAUUAUGACAUUUAUGUGUGCAAUGUUGUAGUAUUUGUGUUGAAACCAAGAAUAUUGGAUGUACUAGUCACUGUGCUACGGUCUAUUUACACCCAUGAAUAGAGCUUGUUGAAUUUCUGACAUUAUAUUUUAUGUAUGAAGGUUAAUGGUAAAUGGCAAGCAAAGAACUACCCAAGAGCAAGAGAACUCAAAAUUGGACUUUCGAAAACUGCAUUGCAGUUCAGAAAUUGCAUUGCAGUUUUUAUUUAAUUACAAUUGAAUUUUUGCUCUUUCUUUGGUCUUCAACCUCACGAAUUUGAAGAGUAGAGGCUACCCAAAUGAGGAAUUGGGGAAAGAGAAAAGUAGAACUACCCAAGAGCAAGAUAACUCAAAAUUAGACUUUUGGAAACUGCAUUGUGGAUUUAGAAACUGCAUUGCAGUUUUAGAAACAGCAUUACAGUUUUCUUUUAAUUACAAUUUGAUUUUUAUUCUUUUCUUGGCCUUCAACCUCAUCAAUUUGAAGAGUAGAGGCUACCCAAAUGAGGAAUUGAGUGGGCAAGAGAAGAUUAGAACUACCCAAGAGCAAGGGAACUCAAAAUUGGUCUUUUGGAAACUGCAUUGCAGUUUUCAUUUAAUUACAAUUUGAUUUUUUGUUCUUUCCUUGGCCUUCAACCUCACCAAUUUAAUUACAAUUUGAUUUGUGUUCUUUCCUUGUUUUUUUUAAACAUAAUUGAUAUCUACCUUGUAUUUUUAUUGCAGUUUCUGUUUUUAUUUUCAGUUUUUGUGUGAAUAUGUGUUGAAAUGAUUUUUUUUUUUUUUUUUAAACUGUUGAUUGUUGUUAUAAAUAUUGUAUAACUGAAUAAAUAUUACAAAAUCAAGUUUGGUGUAGUGGUUUGUGAGUGAGCCUUCCUCCUUUGAGGGUCAAGGUUCAAGUCCCUUCAAUGACACAAAAUAUUUUUUUUAAAGGUGAAUAAAGGGCAAUGGAGUUGGUCCCCUACAGACGGUGGCAGGUGGUGGCCCGCAACGGUGGCUUGCAGCGGGAGUCCGGUGGUGGUGGCCGGCGAAGGGUGGCUGGAGGCGGGAGUCCGGUGGUGGGAGCCCGGCGGUGGUGGCCAACGAAGGGUUGCCGGAGGCGGUAGUCUGACGGUGGCCUAAGGCGGUGACGGCUGCGGUGGCCGGCGGUGGUGGCUAUAUAUGGACAUGUGGCAUAGUAUGCUUGCCUUAGAAGGAGUGGCAUUGUGUGCAAUUGCAAUUUUUUUUAAGGGAGCUUUAGGUGAUAUAUUGGGUGCAACCGAGUUGCAAGGCCAAGGACCAUUGAAUUACAAAAAUAAAGAUUUGACGGCGGCAACAAAAAACUUCAGUGAAGAAAAAAAACUUGGAGGAGGAGGAUUCGAGGGCAUCUACAGGGUAAAUUAUGUGCUAAAGAGCUCUAAAAUAAUUUAUGUCAGUUCAGUUUAGCACGGUCGAAUAUGGUGUACUCUUUUUUUACAUAAAUAAAGUUUUAAAAAACUGGGAAAAUUGCAUUGUCAAGCUUUUGAUUAUCCAUGCAUAAUGUUCAUUUACAAUUACAUGGUUGGUCAGGGUACUCUAAACAAUGGAAAAGUACGUAGUUGCAGUUAAAAAACUAGCAAUUCUCCAAUCUGACAGGGCAAAGGCGAAUUUCGUAAACGAGGUGAAGCUGAUAUGUAACGUUCAUCACCGGAAUCUCAUUCUUCUUGGAUGUUGUAGCAAAGGACCGUAAUUGCUUCUCAUAUAUGAAUACAUGGCAAACAACAGCCUCUACAGAUUCAUAUUUGGUAAUAAUUUUCGGCUUUUCAGCUCAGCUACCUCUAAAUGCAUGCCUCUCAACUGGAAACAACUAAAUGACAUAAUCCUGGGUACAGCGGGGUCUGGCCUAUUUACAUGAGAAGUUUCAUGAGAUGUAAAAACCAGCAAUGUUAUUUUGGAUGAUAAUUUCCAGCCACCAGAUCUGCCGGAACAUUGUAAGUUAAAGUACUUUCCCACAGGCAUAACCCCUGAUUGAGAUCUAUAUGAUCAUUACUCUUCUACAAUAUUUAUACCGAUAUUGUGUUUUGCCCUACUUAUCUUUCUAUCCGCACACAAAAAGUGUUAUGAAUCUACUACAUACAUCUUGUGUAGCUUCUCACAUUCCAGGAUCGACUCUGCCGUAGCACGAUAUUGUCCGUUUUGGGCCCCCUUCUCUGCCCUCACGGUUUUAUUUCUGAAAACUCACGAGCAACUUUUCAGUGGACCUCCUAUCCUGGGAUUGCUCUAACCCCCAACUCGCUUAACUUCGAAGUUCCCAUGACUCCGAAGCCAGUGAACUCCCAAAAAACCUCGUACUAGAUAGAAGCAGGCAUGUAUAUAUAAGGCACAUCAUCCUCUCUCCGUUGAUCGAUAUGGGAUAUUACAUAGCCGAAGAGGAGUACAUCACCAUCAUGGUGAUGCUCUAUAGUGUUUCUCUCUGUGGAAGUGUUUCUCACUUCUGUUUUAGCCUAUCUGAGCAAUGGUGCUCACGGCACCUCCUACCAAGCCUUCUUUAAAUAACCAAAGAAUUUGGUCCAACAGACACAAAACAUUAAUGCACUGAAAAAGCACAACCACCAGCAUUGGAAAAGAAGCCAGCCGCUCCUCUUUCUCAUGUCCUUGGUGCAGCACAGUGGGGCACACCUGCCCACACAUCUCCUGCUGCCAACGAAGUCCCUCUUUAUGCAUAGCUCAAGUUUGGCUUCUCAAAGAACCCAAGAGCCAAAAGUAAUAGCAAUAAUACAAAGCCUAUUCUACCUCUCUUUUUCUCUCUCUCUCUCAUGAAAAACAUCUCUCAUGAAAAACAAAUGUUAGCUUGUUUGAUGCAUUCAUUUCAUUGUUUUAAGUUUUAGAAAAGUGACACAUACCAUGAGAAAGUGAAAGAAUGUCCAAAAGAUAAAGUUAGAGAGAAAUUGCUAUCAAAGCUUUUUCACAAAGUUAGGACACACAUGCCCACCAAGUUGGAUUCCAAUUGCCUUAGGUGUAGAUCACCCAAGUGCUGGAACCCACUCCAUCUGUGUCUCCAGCCUUUUAACAAAGAUGGCAUGUGCCGUCGUUUCCCCAUUUGAAAAACCCAAGGCAUGACAAAUAAAUGAAGAAAGCUAGCAAACAAACAAUGAUAAAGUAGCCCUUACACAAUUAACAAUACAAUUUGGGCCAAUUUUCAACAGUGAAGGCAUCUUAUUACGGUGGGAUCAUUUGCAUCCUCGGAGCCUUUCUUUUUCGAAAUAAGGAUAGAUUUUAAUCAUUAAACUAGGAAUGUAAACGCUAGAUCUGAAAGCAGAUUCAAGGAUUUCCGUAAAAAUCAUAAUCAACAUUACGUAGUUACAAACAUACAAAAUCCAUCCACAAUUCGUACAGAUACAGCAGAAUUACACGGAGUUUCUGGCUAUGCUUCUUUUUCUUUUAUUCUCUUAUUCGUUUAUGGAAUUCCAUAUAUUACUUGGAAGCAGCUGACCUGGUAAAGGGUGCCUAGAAUGAUACUCGAAUAUCAAGCAAUGUCAUCAACUGAGAAAUAAGCUCUGGUUGGCCAUGCCACGCUGCUGCGGUAACCAGAUUUCCAUCAGUGACACAACGAUCUAUUGGAUCCGCUUCCACAAACGUCCCCCCUGACGAAACCACACGAGCCUUAAUCCCUGGGUAUCCAGUACAUUUCUUCCCCUGAAAUAUAGCCAAUUGAACCAAUUAUAUGACAUGCUAAAAAGUGCCUAAUCCGUUAAUAAGUACAUUAACCACUAAUCAAAAGAAACAGAAAAAAUAUCAUCUCCUUUGCGAUUUUAAAGAGUACUCACCUCCCUCUUCCCCAUAGUUAUUUACAAUUGAGAGGUUAAUAGGUCACAGCAGAUCAGCUCAACAGAACCAAAAUACAAAGCACUACCACUAACUAUGUUUUUUUCUUUAAGAACCAUACCUGCAGAACACCAGCAGCAACUAAAAUUUCCAGGCCAUGGCAGAUGGAUGCAACUGGUUUCCUGGCUUCCAUAAAUUUUUUCACUAGUACAAUAACAUCCUCCUUUAGUGCCAAAAACUCUGGAGCUUUACCUCCAGGGAGUACAAGAGCGUCAUAACUUGAGGCAUCUAUGGAUUCAAAGUCAGCUGUUAAAACAAAAUUAUGUCCCCGGAUCUCACUGUAGGUUUGGCCCCCUUCAAGAUCACGGAUAGCAGUUGGGCAGGUAUCACCGGCUUUCUUCUUGGGGCAAACCACAUCAACAUGGCAUCCUAGAACUUUGAGGGUCUGAUAAGGCACAGUUACCUCAUAAUCUUCCGCGUAGUUCUACAAAUAUUGGGAAGGGGAGCAAUUAAAUGAUGAUGAUUAGUAACUAACAGUUUAAUCAUUGGCUAUAUUUUGUCCCAUAUUUGUCAUUGCAAUAUAAAAGAAACAGAAAAGAAAGCUUACUCCAAUGAUGAUGAGGACCCUUCUCUCUGAAGCACAUAUUUUGCCUCCCAGUGCCUUGAGAAAAAGCCCAAUGAACUCAGGAUUGCCAUAAUAUGUGACCCCAGUAAUUAAAUUAUCAUCAGCAACACACACUGACAAUGUAUCGGGUUCUACCCAGUGAGCACCAGCAGCAACCAAUCCAGGUUUCAUAGUUGAAACCGCUGUGCACUUGCGACCUUUAACAGCGGCUGCAGCUGCUAAGACCAACUGCCCAUGGCAAAUAGCAGCAAUUGGCUUUCUGGAGUCGGAAAAUUUUCUCACCAAUUCUACAACCGAUGCAUUCAUAGCAAG
rnacentral:lncRNA from 1 species